UACGUAGGGUCCGAGCGUUGUCCGGAAUUACUGGGCGUGAAGAGCUCGUAGGUGGUUUGUCGCGUUGUCCGUGAAAACUCACAGCUCAACUGUGGGCGUGCGGGCGAUACGGGCAGACUGGAGUACUGCAGGGGAGACUGGAAUUCCUGGUGUAGCGGUGGAAUGCGCAGAUAUCAGGAGGAACACCGGUGGCGAAGGCGGGUCUCUGGGCCGAUACUGACGCUGAGGAGCGAAAGCGUGGGGAGCGAACAGG
rnacentral:rRNA from 1 species